AUAAGCUUCCUGCUUUAGUUCCUCGGUGUCUGGCUAGGCAACCAGACCGCCAAUGCCUGGACAGCGAUCACUUUGGCCACUGAAGGCCCAUCUCUGGCAUUCUUGCUCAACUCGUCAGCCUCUUCGUGUUCUCGUCAGAUGCUCUUGCCGUGGGGUCAAGUUUGAGCUGAGACCUCAGAGCGUUUCAGUUCCUCACCAGAGCCCCCAGAGCCAGCAUGAGAACAGCGCACGCCAAUUUCCUAUGGCGACUCUUGGUUCUCUAAAUGUCUGCUACUUUUGAAGGAAGAAGAUUGAGUUUCAUCUGUAUUGACCAGAACGAGAAGACGCUGAGCGUUGGGAUGCCUGAACUGCAGAGAGCAGACUGUAGUCAGACGGUAACAUGCACACCCGCAAACGGCCAUCUCAGACCUCUCAUCUCACUUUAUGACCAAACUAUAAUUACAUUACAGUGAUGACUUGGAUAUUACAUUUUUAUCACGGUUAUGUCAUGACGUCUACUAGGAAAAAUAUAUGCCUACUUUAACCAAUAAAAUUCUUAAUGACUCAGUUAA